UAAUACGGAGGGUGCAAGCGUUAUCCGGAUUCACUGGGUUUAAAGGGUGUGUAGGCGGGUAUUUAAGUCAGUGGUGAAAUCUCCGAGCUCAACUCGGAAACUGCCAUUGAUACUAUUUAUCUUGAAUAUUGUUGAGGUAGGCGGAAUAUGUCAUGUAGCGGUGAAAUGCUUAGAUAUGACAUAGAACACCGAUUGCGAAGGCAGCUUGCUAAACAAUUAUUGACGCUGAGGCACGAAAGCGUGGGGAUCAAACAGGAUUAGAUACCCUGGUAGUCCACGCCCUAAACGAUGAUUACUGGACAUUUGCGAUAUACAGUGAGUGUCUGAGCGAAAGCAUUAAGUAAUCCACCUGGGAAGUACGUCCGCAAGGAUG
rnacentral:rRNA from 1 species